GGCUGGUCCGAUGGUAGUGGGUUAUCAGAACUUAUUAACAUUAGUGUCACUAAAGUUGGUAUUCAACCCCCCACUGCUAAAUAUGACUGGCUUUUG
rnacentral:Y_RNA from 1 species